UAGACAGCUUAGGACACUGAAAAUUGUCUAGU
rnacentral:piRNA from 1 species